GGGAACAAGGUUUCCGUAGGUGAACCUGCGGAAGGAUCAUUAACGUAUAAUCCGACGGGGUUCGGUCGCGCCUCGCUCCGGCUCUCACGGGCCGUGCAGCGGGCGUCCGUCCCUGUUCACCCUUAACAAACCCCACUGUGCACCUUCACGGCAGAGGGCUCACGCCUGACGCCGCAUACAACAAACUCCAGUUCUAAAGAAUGUCGAGCGGACCUCGUGCCGCCUCUAAUUUGUAACAACUUUCAACAACGGAUCUCUUGGCUCUCGCAUCGAUGAAGAACGCAGCGAAAUGCGAUAAGUAAUGUGAAUUGCAGAAUUCAGUGAAUCAUCGAAUCUUUGAACGCACCUUGCGCUCCUUGGUAUUCCGAGGAGCAUGCCUGUUUGAGUGUCUUGAAGUCAUCAACCCCUCCCGUUUCGUGCGGGCUGGGGCUGGAGCUGGGGGCUUGCUGCCGUGAGGCGGCUCCCCUCAAAUGCAUCGGNUGGUGCUGUGGGUCGAACUCGACUGGACGUUGUAUCAUCCUCGCUCUACCGAGAACGCCCCUUCCGUGCCCGANCCCGACCUGCCUGAGGAGAGNNGGNGAAGCUAAACUUUGAAAUCUGACCUCUAAAUCAGGUAGGACUACCCUCUGAACUUUAGCAUAUCAAUAAGCGGAGGAAAAAGAAACUAACAAGGAUUCCCCUAGUAACUGCGAGURGAUCGGGAAAAGCUCAAAUUUGAAAUCUGGCGUUUCCNCCGUUCGAGUUGUAUUCUGGAGAAGUGCCUUUCGCGCCGGACUGCGUUCAAGUNUCUUGGAACAGGGCGUCAUAGAAGGUGAGAAUUCCGUCUUGGGCACGGUCCCCCGNUGCUAUGCGGUGCUCUCUCGAAGAGUCGAGUUGUUUGGGAAUGCAGCUCAAAACGGGUGGUAAAUUCCAUCUAAAGCUAAAUAUUGGCGAGAGACCGAUAGCGAACAAGUACCGUGAGGGAAAGAUGAAAAGCACUUUGGAAAGAGAGUAAAACAGUACGUGAAAUUGUUGAAAGGGAAACGCUUGAAGUCAGUCGCGUCUGCCGGAACUCAUCCUUGCUUCUGCUUGGUGCACUUUCCGGUUCGCCGGGCCAGCAUCGGUUUCGAGCGGUGGUCACUGGUGAAGGGAAGGUGGCGGCUCCGGCCGUGUUAUAGCCCUUUGCCGCGAACUCCGCCCGGGACCGAGGAAUCCGGCGCAAGCCUGGGAUGCUGGCGUAAUGGCUUUAAGCGAC
rnacentral:rRNA from 1 species